GCUCUUGUUUCUCUUCAGAUCAUAUAAAUCUUUUGCCUUUUACAAAAGAUUUCCAUGCAGGGAAACAACAAGAGUUAUCUGAAUAUUUUGAUGCCCUACUGAGAGGUCG
rnacentral:snRNA from 1 species